CCUACGGGAGGCAGCAGUGGGGAAUUUUGGACAAUGGGCGAAAGCCUGAUCCAGCAAUGCCGCGUGAGUGAAGAAGGCCUUCGGGUUGUAAAGCUCUUUUGUCAGGGAAGAAACGGUGUUUUCUAAUACAGAAUGCUAAUGACGGUACCUGAAGAAUAAGCACCGGCUAACUACGUGCCAGCAGCCGCGGUAAUACGUAGGGUGCAAGCGUUAAUCGGAAUUACUGGGCGUAAAGCGUGCGCAGGCGGUUUUGUAAGUCUGACGUGAAAUCCCCGGGCUCAACCUGGGAAUUGCGUUGGAGACUGCAAGGCUAGAGUUUGGCAGAGGGGGGUAGAAUUCCACGUGUAGCAGUGAAAUGCGUAGAUAUGUGGAGGAACACCGAUGGCGAAGGCAGCCCCCUGGGUCAAGACUGACGCUCAUGCACGAAAGCGUGGGGAGCAAACAGGAUUAGAUACCCUGGUAGUCCACGCCCUAAACGAUGUCUACUAGUUGUCGGGUCUUAAUUGACUUGGUAACGCAGCUAACGCGUGAAGUAGACCGCCUGGGGGAGUACGGUCGCAAGAUUAAAACUCAAAGGAAUUGACGG
rnacentral:rRNA from 1 species